AUUGAACGCUGGCGGCAGGCCUAACACAUGCAAGUCGAGCGAGCGGCGGACGGGUGAGUAAUGUAUGGGGACUGCCCGUUAGAGGGGGAUAACUACUGGAAACGGUAGUCAAUACCGCAUACUAUCGGACAACCUAUAUGGGAUUAGCUAGUAGGUGAGGUAAUGGCCCACCUAGGCGACGAUCCGUAGUUGGUCUGAGAGGAUGAUCAGGCACACUGGAACUGAGACACGGCCCAGACUCCUACGGAGGCAGCAGUGGGGAAUAUUGGACAAUGGGCGAAAGCCUGAUGCAGCCAUGCCGCGUGUGUGAAGAAGGCCCUAGGAUUGUAAAGUACUUUCAGUCGGGAGGCGUUACCAACAGAAUAAGCACCGGCUAACUCCGUGCCAGCAGCCGCGGUAAUUC
rnacentral:rRNA from 1 species